AUGAAUUUCAUUUAUUAGGACUGAAAGCAUAAGUAUAUUGCUAAUCUCUUAUUUUAUUAGAUCAUGAUAACAAAAAAUGACAGAUUAUUUAUCACUAAAAGUAUUUUCAAUCAUGAAAUAAUAUUACAUUCAAGUGAUUCAGUUUAGAACUCCAGCUGCUCCAACUAAAGAAUUAUUACAUCACAAAAUAGCAACUCUGUGUGAUCAGAUACAACAGAAGGCAUAGUUUCAUACCAAAGUAAUUGAAGAUACAGUAACUAUACAAGAAAUACUUUAAAAAACCUUAAUAUAACUUUAACUCUCUACACACCUAUCAAUAGGAAUUGGGCAUUUUAAGGAAGUUUACUAUUACUACCAAGAAGUGAUGGGGAUGAACAGUACAGAUAGUUUAAAGAAGUUGGAGGAAUUUUAAUUAAAGGAAAAAACCUUUUUUCCACUCAGUACCAUAGGAUAACAUGGAAGACAGAGCUUAUAGUUUGUGAGAAUCAAGUCAGAACAUCAAAAGAGAGAGUGAAAACCUCAGUUACAAGUUUGCUGCGAGAUAAAGCAAAGAAGUUGGUCCUCAGCUUCAAAAACCCAAGAUGAAACUGCCAGACAAUGAAAGUAUUAAAAAAUAAAAUGAAAUAUGACACUUUUGAUGGCAGUGGAAGCAAUCCAAAAUUUCAUUAUUCCAGAGAAAACCAAAUCCUCUACUGUGUCUGGUGGCCUGGCAACAGUAAGGAAACAAUUUGAGAAAGGGAAGAUGGUCUCUUCAAACAGGACCUUUGCUCAACACCAGCACCAGCAGAAAUCUGCACAGGAAGCAUCUAGUAUCAAUCAGCCUAAAAUAUCAAACAAC
rnacentral:lncRNA from 1 species